CGUAUCACUUAAAGCGAUUCAGCGGGUUACGAUUGACGGAGCGAAGCGACGUCAAAGCGUAUACAAAGUCGAGUCGGUUUAAGGAUACGUUCGUUGGGUAGGGGAGCGUUCUGUAAGCCUGUGAAGGUGGCCUGUGAGGGUUGCUGGAGGUAUCAGAAGUGCGAAUGCUGACAUAAGUAACGAUAAAGCGGGUGAAAAGCCCGCUCGCCGGAAGACCAAGGGUUCCUGUCCAACGUUAAUCGGGGCAGGGUGAGUCGACCCCUAAGGCGAGGCCGAAAGGCGUAGUCGAUGGGAAACAGGUUAAUAUUCCUGUACUUGGUGUUACUGCGAAGGGGGGACGGAGAAGGCUAUGUUGGCCGGGCGACGGUUGUCCCGGUUUAAGCGUGUAGGUGUGUGUUCCAGGUAAAUCCGGUUCACUUUAACACUGAGGCGUGAUGACGAGGCACUACGGUGCUGAAGCAACAAAUGCCCUGCUUCCAGGAAAAGCCUCUAAGCAUCAGGUAACAUCAAAUCGUACCCCAAACCGACACAGGUGGUCAGGUAGAGAAUACCAAGGCGCUUGAGAGAACUCGGGUGAAGGAACUAGGCAAAAUGGUGCCGUAACUUCGGGAGAAGGCACGCUGACACGUAGGUGAAGUGAUUUACUCAUGGAGCUGAAGUCAGUCGAAGAUACCAGCUGGCUGCAACUGUUUAUUAAAAACACAGCACUGUGCAAACACGAAAGUGGACGUAUACGGUGUGACGCCUGCCCGGUGCCGGAAGGUUAAUUGAUGGGGUCAGCGCAAGCGAAGCUCCUGAUCGAAGCCCCGGUAAACGGCGGCCGUAACUAUAACGGUCCUAAGGUAGCGAAAUUCCUUGUCGGGUAAGUUCCGACCUGCACGAAUGGCGUAAUGAUGGCCAGGCUGUCUCCACCCGAGACUCAGUGAAAUUGAACUCGCUGUGAAGAUGCAGUGUACCCGCGGCAAGACGGAAAGACCCCGUGAACCUUUACUAUAGCUUGACACUGAACAUUGAGCCUUGAUGUGUAGGAUAGGUGGGAGGCUUUGAAGUGUGGACGCCAGUCUGCAUGGAGCCGACCUUGAAAUACCACCCUUUAAUGUUUGAUGUUCUAACGUGGACCCGUAAUCCGGGUUGCGGACAGUGUCUGGUGGGUAGUUUGACUGGGGCGGUCUCCUCCUAAAGAGUAACGGAGGAGCACGAAGGUUGGCUAAUCCUGGUCGGACAUCAGGAGGUUAGUGCAAUGGCAUAAGCCAGCUUGACUGCGAGCGUGACGGCGCGAGCAGGUGCGAAAGCAGGUCAUAGUGAUCCGGUGGUUCUGAAUGGAAGGGCCAUCGCUCAACGGAUAAAAGGUACUCCGGGGAUAACAGGCUGAUACCGCCCAAGAGUUCAUAUCGACGGCGGUGUUUGGCACCUCGAUGUCGGCUCAUCACAUCCUGGGGCUGAAGUAGGUCCCAAGGGUAUGGCUGUUCGCCAUUUAAAGUGGUACGCGAGCUGGGUUUAGAACGUCGUGAGACAGUUCGGUCCCUAUCUGCCGUGGGCGCUGGAGAACUGAGGGGGGCUGCUCCUAGUACGAGAGGACCGGAGUGGACGCAUCACUGGUGUUCGGGUUGUCAUGCCAAUGGCACUGCCCGGUAGCUAAAUGCGGAAGAGAUAAGUGCUGAAAGCAUCUAAGCACGAAACUUGCCCCGA
rnacentral:rRNA from 1 species